rnacentral:ncRNA from 1 species
CAACACCGCGUGGGAGAGUCCGCCGGACCGGCAGUAGACGGGCCGCGGGCGCCGAAGGAGCAACACCUCUCCGUCAAUCUCUCAGGCACCAGGACCACGUGGGUUGG